GUCCAGAUGACAAGUCCCUAAUAGGACGAAACAUGCGUCCUGGAU
rnacentral:hammerhead_ribozyme from 1 species